rnacentral:rRNA from 1 species
GGGAGCCUGAGAAACGGCUACCACAUCCAAGGAAG